GACGAACGCUGGCGGCGUGCUUAACACAUGCAAGUCGAACGGAAAGGCCCUGCUUUUGUGGGGUGCUCGAGUGGCGAACGGGUGAGUAACACGUGAGUAACCUGCCCUUGACUUUGGGAUAACUUCAGGAAACUGGGGCUAAUACCGGAUAGGAGCUCCUGCUGCAUGGUGGGGGUUGGAAAGUUUCGGCGGUUGGGGAUGGACUCGCGGCUUAUCAGCUUGUUGGUGGGGUAGUGGCUUACCAAGGCUUUGACGGGUAGCCGGCCUGAGAGGGUGACCGGCCACAUUGGGACUGAGAUACGGCCCAGACGCCUACGGGAGGCAGCAGUGGGGAAUAUUGCACAGUGGGCGGAAGCCUGAUGCAGCAACGCCGCGUGCGGGAUGACGGCCUUCGGGUUGUAAACCGCUUUCGCCUGUGACGAAGCGUGAGUGACGGUAAUGGGUAAAGAAGCACCGGCUAACUACGUG
rnacentral:rRNA from 1 species